AAUGGGCGCAAGCCUGAUGCAGCGACGCCGCGUGAGCGAUGACGGCCUUCUGGUUGUAAACCUCUUUCAGUA
rnacentral:rRNA from 1 species